UUCUCACUUUCUGUUACAGCAAAUCUCUCUGUCUUUCUGUCUCUCCCUGUGUCUCUGUCUCCAAAAAGAAGAACAAAAAAGAACACACUCCAAAUGCAAGCACUGCUGCAUUUAUGGAGAAAGAGAACAGGAAGAGCUUUCACACCAUACAUCUCCACCCCUCCCCACCUCCUAUCCCCCCCCCAUCUCUCUCUCCCUCUCUCCUCUCUCCCUCUCUCUCUCUCUCUCUCUCUCUCUCUCUCUCUGUAGUCACUGCAGCGUGUCUAAUGGUUCAGCUCCUUCUCAGCAGAUCCACCACGCGGAGGCCAGGCGAGCAGCAGCAGCAGCCCCCGACUAACGCCUCCCAACCACUGGCCUUAUCAAGACUGACAGGCCAGAAACGUGGGUGCUCUCAUGCUGGACCAGACUGUUUAUGGACUGAAGUAUUCAGGUAAAAUUGCUCAACAGAAAAUUAUUUGGUAACUGUUUUGAAAAGCACAGAAUCACUUUUGUUAUUUCAAAAGCAAAACCAUUUGUUCCAGUUUCUUGAAUGAGCAGAUUUCAGGGCUUUUUUGUCAUAUAGAGACUUUGUACAGACUAAAUGAUUUAUCAAUUAUGUAGAAAAAUAUUCAGAAGAUUAAUUGAUAAUGAAAAUAAUUGUCUGGAUCAGCUCCUGAAUGGAUGUGGUGAAACUGUUUUGUUGGCAACAGCGUUUCAUGUAAACAACAUGCUGUAUCUCAUCUUGAAUCAACAAAUACUUUUGUAAGCCACUUCAGAUAAGAGAAGCAUCUGA